AUGCUUCCAGCUACCGAAGGACCAUCAGCAUCGUAUCAAACAAUUCAAGAUGCGAAUCCAACCAAAUUUAUAAAUAAGGGGAUACAACCGCGAAUUCCAAAGAAAAUUAUGAAUCCAAAGAGUCCAUUUUACAAUUUAAUUCUCGAGACUGGAAUGGAAAGACAGUUGGAUGGAAAAUAUGUGUUAGAGGAAGAAGCAAAAUUGACACCGAUUGAGGAAAAGGCGAAGAAUAAUUACGUGAGAAGGAUGACAGUGCACAACCCCCGUUUCCUUAAGCUUACCGAAAAAAUUCAAAAAAAUAGAACUUUCCGACUUCGAAAAGUUUGGCUCCUUAAUAAAGAAACAAUGAUGCGUAACGUUAACCAAGUAAAACUCGCUCAACAAUUAUCGAGGGAAGCUAAAAAAGAAUCAAAACAAAGGUGUUACGCACAACAUCUUCAGAAAGUUAAGCGAAAAAAGGGAGCUACUACUGAAGAAUCAACUGAUAUUGACCAAGGAGGUGAAGAACAGUAUUAUGAUGAAGAUGAAGAAAUUGAAUUUAAUCUUACUGGUGAACAACACAAAUAUCAGUAUCUUGGGUACGACAGGAUGAACGACAACAAGGCGCGGAAAAAAGCAGCCAAGCUCAUUUCGUAUCCUGGGUACACCGGAUCAACGUUAAAUACGUCUAAUGUAUAUCAAACAUACCCAGAGAACGACUAUUCGUUCUUUCCUGCUCCAGCGCCUUCCUCUUUGUCAUCCUUCAAUCCAUUUGGACAAACUAGCCCAUCUUCAGCUCUAACUACUGCAUUUGGAAUUCCACCGCCAACUACAUAUUCAUCUCAUCAACAGAGUUCUACUUAUUCUCCAAUUGUUCAAAGCAUUUCAAGUCAACCAACCGCUGGAUUUACAAAUCCUUACAGUCAGCUAGCCUCGAACUUCAGUACAAGUUCAUUCGAUUCUUCGGCUCCAGUUUCUCCAGUUCCGACACAAGUUGCACUGGAAGUUUCUGAGCAAGAACUUUCUAGACAAAAAAGACUUAUGGAGAUUGAAGAAGAGCUAAAGGCGAUCAAUGGAAGAAAAUUGCAAAUUCAAAUGGAAGCUGAAAUCAAACAAGCAGAAGCUGAACUGGCUCAGAAACAACAAAUGAUGGAAAUUCGUGAAAGAGAGCUCAGGGAUAGAGAGUAUUUCGAGAUUGGGCGUAGAUCACAAUUAGAACAGAAUAGGUUCAUCCUCUUGGAAUCGGCCGGUUGACUCCCAUCAUUAUCAAGGAAAAAUUAAGCCCGCAUUCCCAAAAAAGAGUCGCGGUGGGAAUAAGAAGUAUCCUAAAAAUCAAUAUCAACACGGAGGAAUGGAAUAUGACUAG
rnacentral:misc_RNA from 1 species